rnacentral:rRNA from 1 species
AUUGAACGCUGGCGGAAUGCUUUACACAUGCAAGUCGAACGGCAGCACGGGUGCUUGCACCUGGUGGCGAGUGGCGAACGGGUGAGUAAUGCACCGGAACGUAUCCAAUAAUGGGGGAUAACGCACCGAAAGGUGUGCUAAUACCGCAUACGAUCUACGGAUGAAAGCGGGGGAUCGCAAGACCUCGCGCGAAUGGAGCGGCCGAUGUCAGAUUAGGUAGUUGGUGGGGUAAAGGCUCACCAAGCCAACGAUCUGUAGCUGGUCUGAGAGGAUGAUCAGCCACACUGGGACUGAGACACGGCCCAGACUCCUACGGGAGGCAGCAGUGGGGAAUUUUGGACAAUGGGCGAAAGCCUGAUCCAGCCAUUCCGCGCGCAGGAUGAAGGCCCUCGGGUUGUAAACUGCUUUUGUACAGAACGAAAAAGCUCUUUCUAAUACAGAGAGUCCAUGACGGUACUGUAAGAAU